rnacentral:lncRNA from 1 species
CAAAGGAGAAGAAAAGAUUAGUAACACAUAGGGGCAAGGGGGGCAAAGGAGAAAAAAAGAUUAGUAACACAUAGGGGCAAGGGAGCAAAGGAGAAGAAAAGAUUAGUAACACAUAGGGGCAAGGGGGGCAAAGGAGAAAAAAUGAUUAGUAACACAUAGGGGCAAGGGGGGCAAAGGAGAAAAAAUUAUUAGUAACACAUAGGGGCAAGGGGGGCAAAGGAGAAAAAAUUAUUAGUAACACAUAGGGGCAAGGGGGGCAAAGGAGAAGAAAAGAUUAU